GACGAACGCUGGCGGCGUGCUUAACACAUGCAAGUCGUACGGUAAGGCCCUUUCGGGGGUACACGAGUGGCGAACGGGUGAGUAACACGUGAGUAACCUGCCCACAACUUUGGGAUAACGCUAGGAAACUGGUGCUAAUACUGGAUAUGUGCUCCUGCUGCAUGGUGGGGGUUGGAAAGCUCCGGCGGUUGUGGAUGGACUCGCGGCCUAUCAGCUUGUUGGUGGGGUAGUGGCCUACCAAGGCGGCGACGGGUAGCCGGCCUGAGAGGGUGACCGGCCACAUUGGGACUGAGAUACGGCCCAGACUCCGACGGGAGGCAGCAGUGGGGAAGAUUGCACAAGGGGCGCAAGCCUGAUGCAGCAACGCCGCGUGCGGGAUGACGGCCUUCGGGUUGGAAACCGCUUUCAGCAGGGACGAAGCUUUUUGUGACGGUACCUGCAGAAGAAGCACCGGCUAACUACGUG
rnacentral:rRNA from 1 species